CGUGAGUGAUGAAGGCUUUCGGGUCGUAAAGCUCUGUCAAGUGGGAAGAACCUGUUAGAUACUAAUACCAUCUAGCACUGACGGUACCACUAAAGGAAGCACCGGCUAACUCCGUGCCAGCAGCCGCGGUAAUACGGGGGGUGCAAGCGUUAUUCGGAAUUAUUGGGCGUAAAGGGCGCGUAGGCGGUCUCUAAAGUCGGAUGUGAAAGCCCGGGGCUUAACCCCGGAAGUGCAUUUGAAACUUAGGGACUUGAGUAUGGGAGAGGGAAGUGGAAUUCCUGGUGUAGCGGUGAAAUGCGUAGAUAUCAGGAGGAACACCAGUGGCGAAGGCGACUUCCUGGACCAAUACUGACGCUGAGGCGCGAAGGCGUGGGGAGCAAACAGGAUUAGAUACCCUGGUAGUCCACGCAGUAAACGGUGAACACUAGGUGUAGCGGGUAUUGACCCCUGCUGUGCCGCAGCUAACGCAUUAA
rnacentral:rRNA from 1 species